GACGGGGGAUGCAAGCGUUAUCCGGAAUCACUGGGCGUAAAGCGUCUGUAGGUGGUGAUGCAAGUCACUGGUGCAAAACUCUGGCUCAACCGGAGCAAAGCCAGUGAAACUGCAUGACUAGAGUGUGGGAGAGGUAGAAGGAAUUCCCUGAGUAGCGGUGAAAUGCGUAGAUACAGGGAAGAACACCGGAGGCGAAAGCGUUCUACUGGAACACAACUGACCCUGAGAGACGAAAGCUAGGGGAGCGAACGGG
rnacentral:rRNA from 1 species